CAGCAGAUACCAUUAUAAUAUCCACUUUAGUAAUAGGAAAGUCAAGGCUCAGAGAUGAAAAUAGACAUGCAGCGAUUGCAUAUGAAAGCCAGGGUCAAGGCCAUAUCUGACUUACUCAUAUUUCCUUCAUGACCCGCAGAUUACGUUGCCUCUCUGUGGACUCCUGGCUGCACAUUCUCCCAUAAGCAGUCUUGGUGACCCAUUGGAACAUGCCCUUUCAGCUACUGUCAUUCAUGAAAGUUUUUUUGUUAAUGAGACUAACAGAAAAAAUGGCAAGAAACUAUUUUUUUAAAGGAUUUUCCUUUGUACAAAAUAAUUCAAAAGAAAAAUUUGCCUCUUGAUAUAUAUUUUUUAAACUUUUUAAUUGGAUAUUGGCAAGUUAUAACUGUAAGGUAAAAACAUAAGGUAAAAAAUGAUGCUGUGAUAUAUGUAUACAAUGUGGAAUGAUUGGCUCAAGCUAAUUAAUAUCCAUCACCUCAAACACUAUCAUUGAUUCCUCCCAUCUAGUUGAAACAUUAUAUUCUUUGAUCAUCGUCUUCCCUUUCCCCACCCUCAGCCUCUGGUAACCAUCAUUCUACUUUCUGCUUCUGCGAGUUCCGUAUUUUUAGCUUCCACAUAGAAGUGAGGACAUACAAAUUUGUCUUUCUGAAUUUGAACUUUUCUUAAGUUAAACUAAUACAUAUUAUUUUGGCACUGAUCUCAAAGUGUUAUUCUACUUACUGAUUUAUUAUUCUAUUUAUUGGGGAAGUACACAAUCCCUUGAAUAUUUCAGAACUAUAGGAGUUAUAUUACAUUGUGGUGAGCUAACGUGUUUGCCUCUGUCUUGCAGUGUCCCUGGGUUGUGGCCAAUUUUAAUUUGGAGCUAUGUAUGAUUUGAUAAUCCUUUCUAAAUGACAAUGCAAACACAAAUUCAUGACUAUAAAAUAUGACAUUAUCCAUUUGAUAGGUAAGAGGGACUACGUUUGAGUUGAAAAGGAAGUCAUUUACCAUGGUUCCAUUAAGAGGGACUCACCUCAGGGUGGACACUACCUUUGCCAGAGAAAUAUUUUGAUCAUUUAAUUGAAUUUUCUCUUAACUGGAAUAUCAACUCAUGUUUUGUGAUCUUUUUAUAACAGGGACUCAUUUUAUUAACAGUUUGGCAAUAUACAAAUAUGUUCUUAUUUUAAAUUAAUAACUAAAUUAAUAAAUGUCACAAAAUUGGUAUUUAUAAAUUAUGCAAAAAUAAACCAUGGUUUCUUUAUUCACUCUAAUGGUAAACACAAGAUUAAAGGCUUAUAUGUCUAUGAUCUGCUUUUCUUUUCUUUCUUCCUUUUUUUUUAAGAUGGAGUCUUACCCUGUCACCCAGGCUGGAGUGCAAUGACAUGAUCUUGGCUCACUGCAACCUCCUCCUCCUGGGUUCAAGUGAUUCUCAUGCCUCAGCCUCCCAAGUAGCUGGAAUUACAGGUGCACAUCACCAUGCCCAGUUUUUUUGUGUUUUUAGUAGAGACGGGAUUUCACCAUUUUAACCAGGCUGGUCUCGAACUCCUGACCUCAGGUGAUUCACCCACCUUGGCCUCCCAAAGUGCUGGGAUUACAGGCCUGAGCCACUAUGCCUGGCUUGAUUUACUUUUUGUCCCAGUUUUGACUCAGCAGGUUAUGAUCCACUGCAAACUACUAAAAUUUGCAUUUUCUUUUCCCUGAAUGAGUCUUAACAUUUUAUAGCUUUUAACUGUCCAAUUAUCCUAACAUUUUAUUUUUGGUCUAGAGGAAAAGAACCAAAACCAUUUUUUUUCUAUUUUUUUAAACUAGCCAUAGUGAUUGCCAUCCUAUUGUAACAGUUGGCUGAUGUUUUGGUCUACUUUUGCAUUAUCCUGCAGGUAUCCUUGUGGUUGAUCUCCAUGCACACUCAAACACCCCAACUCUCCAACACAACCCACUUCCAUGUGGUUGGCCUUAUACUGGGGAAAGGGGAAGGCACAGAAGUUCAAUAGGGGAUCCCUGGGAUGACAUUCUAGCAGGAAUAAAUAUAUCAAAUAGUUUUGCUAGUCUCAUGAGGAGUAGAAAAAUAGACAAAAUAUCAAAGUAACAUCAUCAGUCCCAAAGGUUAUGAAAAAUUAGUCAUGGCCAGUAGUGCAAAAAGAAAAAUCGAGAGAGUGAAUUCUGAAGGAAAAUACAUCUUACCCACAUGAUAUCUAUAUUGACCAGUGUUUGUGAAUGAAUUUUCUCUAGCGCAACUGUUGUGCGAAGGCUUAAGAUCAUUUCUACAGGAAUCAUAUUCCAAGUAAAUUCAGCCAUGCUAAAUGCAGUUUCAGCCAGCAACACCAGAUAAACAUUUGCUGUUAGAAAGAAUGUCAACACCCCAUCAACCACCAUAUAUACUAUUCGGCAUUGACUCAGCCAAGUCUCCAAUUUAUCUGUAUCAUUUGUUAUAACCUUAGUUUUAAUUUUGCCAUGUCUUCCAUUCCAAUGUAUCUAAUGUUAGACUAUUUAAGAGAUAUUUACCCAGGAAAGUUUAAUCACAGUACACUAGAAAAGAUGCUCUUUCCUGAUAAUGAGGAGAACUGGACUUUUCCCUCCAUUUUGACACAGCUAGCUAUCACUUUGGGACAAAUCACAACUUUAUCGAGCUUCAGCUUUCUCAUCUGUAAAAUAUGUGCACUGAAAUUAUAACUCUACCAUUCUGUUAUGAUAGGUAUCUGAGAGAUUUCACUUCUAUAGCAAUUACAUCGUGAGAGCACUGGCCCUAUAAAGCCAAGAAGGAAUGAAAAGAGGCUAAGACAAAAAAUAGUGAGUUAAAAUGUAAAGGAUACCUUCUACCCCCCAAAAAGAAGAUACAGUUUCCUUGGUACCCUGGCCAUGUUCUUAUGGGUUUUCUCAGUAGCUUAUGAGCAUAUUCUUGACUUUUUGAUAUUUUAACUUCAUAGUCUUCUUUAAACAUUAUCCCCUGAACCUUGAAGGUUACAGACACUAUAGUGCUAAUGGCAAUGUCCUUGAAAGAUCAAAAAAAGUAAUUCUUGAGGUACUGUUAUUUGAGGUCCCUGUAACUAAUUUCAAAUUAAAUGAGCAUCAAGAGAAAAGAGUUACUCCUGAAAUAUUGUGCUCUCAUUUGACUUUGUUUUUUUUUUUGUUUUUUCUUUUUUAAAAUUCUUUUUCUCGGGAAGCAUAUUGUCUAUGUUUGUGUCAGGGUUGCCCUCAUUAUGCCCAACCACUUUUCAACUACACUUGGCUGAGGCUUACUCUAGAAUAACACAGUUCUAAAGUUAUCUGUUUGCAUAUGGUUGAUUCAGGAGGGAUUCAAAGGAUAAAUUUAUUGUGUUUCUAAGAAAGACAACCCUUUUCCCCCCAAACCUAAACAUAUAUAUAUUUUUCUGAAUGCACCCUCAAAAUCAGUGUCUUUCUCAAUCUAAUAUUAUAUUGGAAGAGGAAGCAUUGUUUAGACACAUAGUUAUGUACUACUGACUGUUGCUAUAAAAAUGAAGUUUAAUCUGCACAAUUUCCAUUGCUUUUCCUUUGAAAUCUGGUGUUUAUUGCAACAGAACUUCAGAUUUUGUAACAUGAUAGUCUGAAAGACAGGCCAACACAGGCAGCUCUUUGGAAACAAGAGACCUGGUACUUCCAACAGCCAAAAAGCUGGCCAAACAUCAGGAACAAGGGAAAGACACAUCAGGUCUGAGCAAGCAGGAAAUCAACUCUACAAACUUUGAAACUUGGUAAAUAUGAAAACAUUCUCAAUACCAUUUGUCAUUUAAUAAAUACAAAUUAUACUAUUUUACUGCUUGCAUCUAGAAGUUUGUCAAAGAUCUCGUCUUAAUUAUUCAUUGUGUCGGCGAAGAUGUAAUAACAACAACAACAAAACUCCAAGCAGUUCACAUAUUAUUUGUGAAGGUUUAAAUUGGCAUAAUUCUUUAAAAGAGGAAUUUGUCAAUAUCUACCAAAAUUAAAAAGGUGCAUAGCUUUUGACCCAACAAUUCCACUUCUAAGACUUUAUGUUAUGCCUAAGUGUGUUAAUAGGCAAGAUAAUAAGUAUAUCCAGCUAUUCAGUGAGUAACUGUUUUGCAAGGGUCAGAAAACUGAAAAUAAUGUAAAGCCCCUUCACAGACAAUAGAGUAUACAUAUUCAGUCAUAUAAAAGAAUAAGGUAAAUUUUUAUAUACUGAUAUAUGAAGAACUCCCAGAUUUGCUAUUAAAUAAUAAUAUAGUUCAGUGUAAAUAUAGAUAGUAUUCUAUCAUUUGUGUAAAAACUGGAAAAUAAAAUAGUAAGAUUAUUCUGAAUUUUAAAACAUUUGAAUGUAUUAACUAUUCAAGAAUAAAAUAAAACUUCAAGAAAAAUG
rnacentral:lncRNA from 10 species